rnacentral:tRNA from 1 species
GGGCAUGUGGCGGAAUUGGUAGACGCGCUGGAUUUAGGAUCCAGUUCCUAUGGAGUGCGGGUUCGACUCCCGCCUUGCCCACCA